GACGAACGCUGGCGGCGUGCUUAACACAUGCAAGUCGAACGAGUGGCGAACGGGUGAGUAUUACGUGAGUAACCUGCCCUCAACUGUGGGAUAAGCCUGGGAAACUGGGUCUAAUACUGCAUAGUUGGGGAUGGGCUCGCGGCCUAUCAGCUUGUUGGUGGGGUGAUGGCUACCAAGGCGUGACGGGUAGCCGGCCUGAGAGGGUGGUCGGCCACAUUGGGACUGAGACACGGUCCAGACUCCUACGGGAGGCAGCAGUGGGGAAUAUUGCACAAUGGGCGCAAGCCUGAUGCAGCCAUGCCGCGUGUAUGAAGAAGGCCUUCGGGUUGUAAAGUACUUUCAGCGGGGAGGCGUUACCCGCAGAAGAAGCACCGGCUAACUCCGUGCCAGCCGCCGCGGUAAUAC
rnacentral:rRNA from 1 species